rnacentral:rRNA from 1 species
GACGAACGCUGGCGGCGUGCUUAACACAUGCAAGUCGAACGGUGAAGCGCCUUCCUUUUUGGUGGGUGUGGAUGAGUGGCGAACGGGUGAGUAACACGUGAGUAACCUGCCCCCUUCUUCUGGAUAACCGCAUGAAAGUGUGGCUAAUACGGGAUAUUCUGGGUCUGUCGCAUGAUGGGUCUGGGAAAGAUAUUGUUUCGGUGGGGGAUGGGCUCGCGGCCUAUCAGCUUGUUGGUGGGGUGAUGGCCUACCAAGGCGGUGACGGGUAGCCGGCCUGAGAGGGUGGACGGUCACACUGGGACUGAGACACGGACCAGACUCCUACGGGAGGCAGCAGUGGGGAAUAUUACACAAUGGGCGCAAGCCUGAUGCAACGACGCCGCGUGAGGGAUGGAGGCCUUCGGGUUGUGAACCUCUUUCGCCAGUGAAGCAGGCCUGCCUCGUUUGUGGGUGGGUUGACGGUAGCUGGAUAAGAAGCGCCGGCUAACUACGUG